rnacentral:lncRNA from 1 species
UUUGUUUUUUUCCCAUUCUUUGUUUUCACGCAACGCCUCCAUGGAGUUCAUCGCCUACUACUUGCUGCCUACACUCACACACAUAUAUAUGAUCUACCCCGUCCUUCUGUGUACUUCCCCCUACUGUGGCAAUAGCACCUCCAGUAGUUGUAGUUCUCUGCUAGGUGGCCUUUCUAUCUUCAUCUUUUCCAUUGAUUUGCGGCCCCGACAGUCUCGGUUCCUCCCAAUGAUUUUAUUUUGUUAAGUAGUAUUUUUAUAAUAGAUGUUUUUUAUCUCAAAAAAUUUAGGUACUAGCGGUCCAAGUUUUCGUCCUGAUUCUGUCCAUUUCUUUAGGGAAUUCUAGGAGACCGUGAACCCGUGGUUAUUGUAUAUUGGUUCGGAGAUUCUUCACUUAACAAUUUGCAAUGACUAACGGGCCUGGUUAGUUUACGCAAUAGUUCAUCUCUUAGUUCUGUAAUUUCUUGGAUUUGAUAGCCCUAAAAAGUAUGUGUAUUAGGACUGAAGAUGCAUGAGGCAUCCCUGAAGAAUGGAGAUGAAUGAGGAAGUACUAAGAUAGUGAGAGAUGAGAUUCCAACCUGGUAAGGCGACACAGAUAAUUAUCUAUUUUUUUCAUAAAAAUGUAUAUAUCCAUUUCUGAUCUUUUUUUUGUUUUGAUUGUUUGGAAAAGGGUCCAGGACCAAGAAAGAUGUUACGAAGUGGUAUGUCAAAACAAAAGCUAAUGUUUCCAUUUAGAUUAUGCAGUUUAGAAGGUAUUACAAAUUAAGUACGAACUAUUGACUUCAGACUAUCCCUUUUUAGCCUUGAAUUAUCGAGUUCGUCUUCUUUUAAUUAUCGUAUCAUCCCUUUACAUACAUGGUUCCAUUACCAAAAUCAGGGAGGAGCUUGGUGGUGCUGGAGUUAAGGAGUACAGCUGGUGGUGGGUUAGGAUAGUGUCGGUCGUUGUUUUCACGUGCUCU